GGAUGUGAGGGUGAUCUGACUGCGACAUCUGUCACCCCAUUGAUCGCCAGGGUUGAUUCAGCUGAUCUGGCUGGCAAGGUGGGUGUCCCCUUCCUCCCUCACUGCUCCAUGUGCAUUGCUCCUGAAGCUGCACUGGCCAAAGAGGACUGCCUUCCCUGAAUAGAAACAGACCUGUCUUUGGUUGAGGGUAUACAAUUAGCUGUGCUCCCUGCUAGAUCCUCCAAACAAGCUCUCAAAUUUAUGGUCCCAUUUCGUUUCCCUGUUAAAAUGAGUUAGUUGUACGAGGCUGUAAAGUCCAGAACUUGUAUCUGGAGGUUCUGGAGAACUCUCACUCUCC
ensembl:misc_RNA 7SK 7SK RNA